GAUGAACGCUGGCGGCGUGCCUAAUACAUGCAAGUCGAGCGAACAGACGAGGAGCUUGCUCCACUGACGUUAGCGGCGGACGGGUGAGUAACACGUGGAUAACCUACCUAUAAGACUGGGAUAACUUCGGGAAACCGGAGCUAAUACCGGAUAAUAUAUUUAAACGCAUGGUUCAAUAGUGAAAGACGCUUUUGCUGUCACUUAUAGAUGGAUCCGCGCCGCAUUAGCUAGUUGGUAAGGUAACGGCUUACCAAGGCAAGGAUCCGUAGCCGACCUGAGAGGUGGACCGGCCACACUGGAACUGAGACACGGUCCAGACUCCUACGGGAGGCAGCAGUAGGGAAUCUUCCGAAAUGGGCGAAAGCCUGACGGAGCAACGCCGCGUGAGUGAUGAAGGUCUUCGGAUCGUAAAACUCUUUUAUUAGGGAAGACCAAAUGUGUAAGUAAAUAUGCACGUCUUGACGGUACCUACUCAGAAAGCCACGGCUAACUACGUG
rnacentral:rRNA from 1 species